UGGGGAAUCUUCCGCAAUGGGCGAAAGCCUGACGGAGCAACGCCGCGUGAUCGAAUGAAGGCCUUCGGUUGUAAAGAUCUGUUGACAGGGACGAAUAAGCAAUGCGAAUAGUUUGUGUAUGACGGUACCUGUUUAGAAAGCUCCGGCUAACUACGUGCC
rnacentral:rRNA from 1 species